UGGGGAAUUUUGCACAAUGGGGGAAACCCUGAUGCAGCGACGCCGCGUGAAUUAGAAGGCCUUCGGGUUGUAAAAAUCUUUUCUAUGGGAAGAAAAUGACAGUACCAUAGGAAUAAGGACCGGCUAAUUACGUGCCAGCAGCCGCGGUAAUACGUAAGGUCCGAGCGUUGUCCGGAAUCAUUGGGCGUAAAGGGUACGUAGGCGGGUAAGCAAGUUAGAAGUGAAAUCCUAUAGCUCAACUAUAGUAAGCUUUUAAAACUGCUCAUCUUGAGGUAUGGAAGGGAAAGUGGAAUUCCUAGUGUAGCGGUGAAAUGCGCAGAUAUUAGGAGGAAUACCGGUGGCGAAGGCGACUUUCUGGCCAUAACCUGACGCUGAGGUACGAAAGCGUGGGUAGCAAACAGG
rnacentral:rRNA from 1 species